AAAAAGAAAUAUUGAAGGUCUGGUACCAAGUAUGUGCAGCUUAACAGUAUGCCUACUUAAUAAAGUAUUACAUCUGUAUGGUGUAUUAUUGGACAAUUUGCAAUUUCAAGGUUGUGCACAAUAAUAAUCAAGUGCAACACAGCAAAAUAUAAAAUAAAACAGUUAAUAAACAAAAUAAAUGAUGAAUUAUGGAUAUAGCUUGCUCAUUGUGUACAGGAUAAGUCUAUUUAAAAGGUUUGUAGCAACCAUGUGAACCUUUUUAAGAAACUGACAAGUUUAUGACCCUGUCCAUGUAAAAAACUAUACUUUUUACAACAAAAAAUUUAAAUAAGUGAACUAGAAACCCAUGUAUUCGCUCUGAAAACACUUUGAUCAAAGAGAACAGAUAGGACAUCAUUGCAUUUGCAUGCUCUUCCAAAGUUCCAACUUGAUAACAGUGGUGGCACAUGUUCAAGCUUUAAACGAAUAAAAUACUCACAGUCCUUCUGAGGCAAUGAGCCACAUUGAGCAGCCUGUUCCUCUUGGCACAUACAUUAGUUUUCUUUACACACAGAAUUGAUGGCUUUGAUGUCUUGCCAUUCCUCUUGCGAGGGUGGAGAAUUAGAUGGAGGACAGAAGAUUCUCCUACAAGCGCAUCUGAGGUAGGGGAGGUGGUUCAGUGGCAGAAGAUCAUUACUUGGUUUUCUGGGCCC